rnacentral:rRNA from 1 species
UAAGGAAUAUUGGUCAAUGGACGCAAGUCUGAACCAGCCAUGCCGCGUGAAGGAUGAAGGUCCUCUGGAUUGUAAACUUCUUUUAUCUGGGACGAAAACGGGAUUUUUAUCUCAAUUGACGGUACCAGGGGAAUAAGCACCGGCUAACUCCGUGCCAGCAGCCGCGGUAAUACGGAGGGUGCGAGCGUUAUCCGGAUUUACUGGGUUUAAAGGGUGCGUAGGUGGGCUUAUAAGUCAGUGGUGAAAUCUCCGAGCUUAACUUGGAAACUGCCGUUGAUACUAUAGGUCUUGAAUUAUCUGGGGGUAAGCGGAAUAUGUCAUGUAGCGGUGAAAUGCUUAGAUAGGACAUAGAACACCAAUUGCGAAGGCAGCUUACUACAUAUAAAUUGACGCUGAGGCACGAAAGCGUG